rnacentral:rRNA from 1 species
GACGAACGCUGGCGGCGUGCUUAACACAUGCAAGUCGAACGAAGUGGCGAACGGGUGAGUAACGCGUAAUCAACCUGCCCUUCAGAGGGGGACAACAGUUGGAAACGACUGCUAAUACCGCAUACUGAAGGAGGGGAUUGCGUCUGAUUAGCUAGUUGGAGGGGUAACGGCCCACCAAGGCGAUGAUCAGUAGCCGGUCUGAGAGGAUGAACGGCCACAUUGGGACUGAGACACGGCCCAAACUCCUACGGGAGGCAGCAGUGGGGAAUAUUGCACAAUGGGGGAAACCCUGAUGCAGCAACGCCGCGUGCGGGAUGACGGCCUUCGGGUUGUAAACCGCUUUCAGCCAUGACGCGGUAGUGGCAGAAGAAGCACCGGCUAACUACGUGCCAGCAGCCGCGGUAAUAC